UAUUAUUCAGCAAUUUCUUUUCUUGGUAUUUACCCACAAGAAACAAAAACAUACGUAUACAAAAAGAUUUGUAUAUGAACAUCUGUCAACUUUAUUCAUAACAGCCCCAAACCAGAAACUCAAACGUCCAUCAAGAGGUGAAUGGAUAAGGAAUAGUAUACCUAUAAAAGGAUAUACUACUCAUCAAUAAAAACUAACAACCAACCAAUGCAUGCAACAUUUAUCAGGCU